UACAGAGGGUGCAAGCGUUGUUCGGAUUUAUUGGGCGUAAAGCGCGCGCAGGCGGUUUCUUAAGUCUGAUGUGAAAGCCCUCGGCUUAACCGAGGAGGGUCAUUGGAAACUGGGAGACUUGAGUGCAGAAGAGGAAAGUGGAAUUCCAAGUGUAGCGGUGAAAUGCGUAGAGAUUUGGAGGAACACCAGUGGCGAAGGCGACUUUCUGGUCUGUAACUGACGCUGAGGCGCGAAAGCGUGGGGAGCAAACAGG
rnacentral:rRNA from 1 species